CCCAAAACCAUGGGGUCACGAGUACAGAGCCUCUAAAAUUACUAAAUACAAGUCUGAAUGGAAAUGAUACAAAUGUAUGACAAAAACUGCAAUGGAACAAACUGAUAAAGACAGAGUAAGCGGUCCUGCAGACGCUGGGCAGCUACCUCAAUACUCUGAUAGCUCGGAUAAGCAAUAGCAACAGCACUAGGUCUCUAGUGCACCUGGAUCUGCACACAAGGUGCAAGGAGUAUGGGGUGAGUACCAAAUCAGCGAUUAAUAAGCAUGUAUAAAAAUCCAAAGAUAAGAGAACACGAAAUUACAUAAAAUGAAGCUAUCUAGCAGUUCUAUACAAUGCAAGCCUCAGAGAUAUACAUAUAAAGCAACAGGAAAUAAAUGCAUGAGAUGCAAUGCAAUGCANNNNNNNNNNNNNNNNNNNNNNNNNNNNNNNNNNNNNNNNNNNNNNNNNNNNNNNNNNNNNNNNNNNNNNNNNNNNNNNNNNNNNNNNNNNNNNNNNNNNNNNNNNNNUUGGGUACCCGCGCUCACUGUGGGGGUUCAGACUACGGAGGGGCUCCUACAACUCAAGCACCAUAUCAUACAUUGCCAAUAGUUACCACUGUUUCCAUGAGAAUAUACGGUGCCAAUAGUUACCACCGUUCCAAUAACAAUAUACUGUCCAGAAAAUAUUGAGAUAGUAAUCGUCAGCCCGAAAUAUCAUUUAAGAAUCAUUUGAGUUUUUUUAAAACAUAUAAAUAUGGCAGAGUUUGCAAAAAUAGUGUUUAAAACAUUGGACUGAAUUCAAAUAAUGUGCAAAUCAUGAAAAUUCUGAAAUAACGAUCCCUGAAGGAUUCUACAAGUCGGCACAAGGCCCCAAACAUGGUAUCAAGCCCAAAUAUCAUCAAUAUAGUAUGCGAGAUUCUACAAGUCGGGACAAGGCCCAAACAUGGCAUCAAGCUCACAUAUCAUCAAUAUUUUGUGCGAAACAAUCGCCAACAUAACACAAUUUAUCCCUCGGAUUGGACCGAGUCACAAUUCCCAACAUAUAUGACCCCGCCCUAACCAUGGAGUGUGUGUCCAUCCUCAUAAUAGUGUCACAAUAUGAUAUACCGGAGUUUCAAACCCUCAGGUCAUCAUUUACACCCAUUACUCACCUCAAGCCGGGGCAAACUAGCUCGCAAUGCCUUUCCCUCGAGAAUCAACAUUCGAUGCAAAAUCUGAUCAAAACCAAUAGGAAUACAUCAAAAUAGGCUAAUGGAACAUAACCCAAUCGAAAUAACUCAAAAUACAUCCAAAAACAUAAAGUUGGCAAAACCCGAGCCCCAGACCCACUUCUCAAAAAAUUACGAAUUUCACAUUUUCGGAAUCCUCGUCUCGCCACGAGUCCAUACAUAUACAUCAAAAUUGGAGUUCAAUAGCCCCUUCAAAUUCAAAAUUUUGAUACCAAAAAUCAAGCCUUAAAUUCUCCAAUUUCCACCAAAUUUUCAGAGAUUUAGAUGAUGAUUCUUCGAUGAAAUCACGUAAUUAGAUCAUAAAACUUACCUCAAGUCGAAACCUAGGUGAAAUCCUCUUACUCCCUCGUCCAAUAGCUCCAAAAUGUGUUCAACAAUGGUGGAAAAUGAUAUUUUCUCGCGGAUGACAUGUCAUUAAACCCUUCUCUCCGCCCAGUCUUUUCUUCAUCGCGAUCGCAACACAACCCACGCGACCGCGAUUACCAAUAUUUUAAAAUUCCAAAAUUGCCCUACGCAAUGCGGCAUGAUCCACGCGAUCGCGGUGCCCUACGGUCUGACUCCACGCGAACGCGACCUGCUCCCACGCGAUCGCGUAUGAGAAACUCCAAUGGUCCAAAAGUCCCUCUUCGCGAACGCAGACAUCCACACGCGAAGGCGGACACCUGAAAUCCACCACUAUGCGAACGCGAAGACCAACUCCACAGGCAUACACACUCGCAACCCAACUCACGCGAUCGCGAUCAACAAAUUCCUCUUGCACUACUGCUGCAUUUUCUGUAGCAUUUCUUAAAUCCAAACUUCCUGAAAAUCAUCCGAAAUCACCCCGAGGCCUCCGAGAACCUCAACCAAAAGUACCAACAUACCCCAAAUCAUCAUACGAACUUGUUCCAAUCAUAAAAACACGUCAAUAAGCACACAAAUCAUCAAAUCAUGACGGAUUCAAGCCUACGUUUCAACUAUAACUUCCGAAACUAACAUUCGAUCAAAACCCAACCGAACGAUGUCUGAAUGACCUGAAAAUUUGCAGACAUAUCCAAAAUAACCUAACGAAGCUACUGCAACUCUCGGAAUUCCAUUCCGACCCCCGGAUCAAAAUCUUACUUAUCAACCAGAAUUCGGCGAAAUUCAACUUAGCCAAUUCAAGCCUAAUUCUACACCUGGCCUCUAAUUUAAGUUCCAUUUUCACUCCCAAGUCAUAAAUCACCACCCGAAACUAGUCGAAUCACCGGAAAUCCAUUCUGAUCCCUAUAACUCAUUAGUCAACAUCCAGUUGACUUUUCCAAACUAGCCUUCUCUUAAAGAGACUACUUGCCUCAUUUCAACCAAACUCAGACCGAAUCAUUUCAAACUUUACAAACACAUAAAAAUGAACGUAUAGAAGCAUAAGAUGGGGAAAACGGGGAGUUAACUUACGUGACGAUGGGUCGGGUCGUCAUAACGCCUCCAUUAGAAAUAAAACAAAAUGAAACUAGUCUUGCUAGCCUAUACUACGCCUCCAUUGAUGUUGUCGCGGCCUCCAAAUACAAGUACUUCAGGGCAUUUCCCGAAAUAAAAUAUACAAAAACUCCUUCGGGACAUUCCCCGAAUAAAUUUAACUAAGGGUACGACCCCUUGCCUCAAAAUUAAAAGCAAACAAAUAGAAAAAUCCUAAGAUUGUCUUCCUAAAUGUGGCCAGCCCAGCAUGCUCCUAGUGGGAAAUUAGUAGACUUCAAGAAAGCAACAACUAGAAUCAAUCUAAGCUAAAACCAUUUUAGUUACUAGUUAUCAAACGGUCCGUCUUAGCAUCCCAAAUCAUUUCGAACCUUUAAAUUGUGAACCUCAAUCCCAUUUCUGUUCAUAAGCAUCAUCUAUCCAUUAAUUUCUAUGUGUCAUUCAGCACAUACAAGUAAUUCAAAGCUAACAUUACCAGCAACAAAUGUAUACGGACAUAAACCCCAACCAAAAUAAGCAAACAAGCUCAACUAAAAUGAAACAAAAGGCAAUUUGACAGAACUUACCAACCAAGCACGUUAAGCCAUUAACAUAAGCAACAAAUGUAUAAGGACAUAAACCCAACCAAAAAUAAGUAAACAAGCUCAACUAAAAUAAAACAAUAGGAAAUUUGACAGAACUUACCAACCAAGCACGUUAACCAUUAUCAUGCAAUUAACAUGGCACGUGAGAAAUAGUAACACACAUAAUAAAGAUAAGGAAAUGAGAGGGACCUCAAAGACAGAAUCUGAUAAUGUUCUUAAAUAGGAAACCUUGGACAGCGACCUUCGGCGACCCUAAAGGUUAAAGUGAUACCACCAUAUGAUCCAGUUUUAAUUCAAUAUCUUACUCAGCUUGACAAUGAAUCUAUCAUGCUUCAAAAUAGUUCAACAACUUACACCCAAACACAAACAGUGAAACUGACCUAGGAUAGUUUCAAACAAUGACUUUAAAACAUGCUUUCAGGACAUGGAUUGAGCAACAGAGACAAUUAAAAGACUAAUGGGGAACUCCAAGUGAAACCAGAGAAGUCUCAGCACUCAUACGCCUGAACUAAAAGGAAUAAAACCAACUUAAACCAACAUGAACCAACUUUCAGCAUUCAGUAAUGGGACCAACCUUUACACAAACUAACUAACUCGAUGUUACCAUCAACAAGCAUAGAAGGGGAGGGUGAAAUCUUAAUAGUGAGGCCCGAUGAACUCGACUUCAUAAACAAGCAGCAAUAAACCAGUUUUCAAAUGAACAAAGCACCUCAUCACAUACCACAUACUGAAUCGUUUAACUCCACUUAAUUAAAGCUUAAACCAUGGAAAGUCAUGCCGCAGAUUAGAGAAACUGACAUGCCGAUUCAGUAGAUUAGUCGCAGACAAGCAAGAUUCUUACUCACAGAAUUACUACACUAGAUUGUUAGUCAUGAAGGGAUAAUACAUUUGCAAGAGUUUAACAAAAUUCUUUCAGAACCUACAAUCUGAGACUAACAAGUGGUUUAAGGAACAUGUGGUUUCUUCAACAAUUUGGACUUUUUAAAAUCGCGCACACUUCACAGCUUCACUGAAUCAAGGACAUAUGUAACCAAAACUAGUCUAAACUUUUCACGUUUGAAAUAUCAAAGAGACACAAGAAAGACUUUUGAUAUAAUCUUCACAUUUAAUCAAUGAAGGAAUUUGUGUCUUUUAACAUGAACAUCAAAAGCUAACAAUCAAUCACUAAGUUUAAACUAGGGAUUAAUUUCUUUCCGAGUAUAUCACUGUUAUCUUGAAAAUUAGAAAGAUGCAUGGCAUAGAUCAAUCUCUUGACACCCCAAGGAAUAUAAAUUCAAUUUGCAUUUCAAACAAGGAGAAAAACUUGCACGAAUUUUCAAAGAAAUAGAUGUAACUAAGCUUCAGCUUAUCCCAGUAGACCAAUUGAUUCAUGGAUUCAAUAAGUAUAUGAGUUCAGGGACAACAUUUUUAAUUUGCGAAUGGAUCUACAUACGGAAUUGUGGUUUUAGCCCAAGACGAGCAAAUCCAACAAGAAGAGAUUGACAAUAGUUUCAACGGAACUGAAGCAAAUGAAACACAACAAAGUCUCUCCAAUUUAUUGAUUAACAUGGCGACGUUGCAGCUCAUAGUAUCUAUAUCAUUUAGAAUUUAGUUAGAGCAUGCCAGAUACUAAUGUUAUCAUGCUAAUAGCUCGACAGUGAAGCCUAAUGCAAGCAGUCAGUUCAACAAACCAGCAAGAAGAACAAAUUGGAACAACAUGUUGAACACAAUGAGCCAAACACUUGUGGACAGUUUCUAGUUAAGCUUUAGUCUAGCUAAUCGAACUUUGAUUAAUCCCAAGCGUAUCCGGAACAAUGACGAAAAGAUGGCAAAUAACAUCAAGCCAUUUCCAAAACCCCCCCGAGCACAAAUCUCAACCAAGAACUAACUAUGGACCUAAAACAGAUAUAUAGAGGAGAAAGAGAUUGAACCUAAAAACGCAGCUUUCGAUUAAACUCGUUUGGGAAUAUGACUACAAGUGAUCCAAAUGCUCCAAUGGAAAAACAAAGCAGAAAGUCAGAUCAAGAAACACGAAGACCUCGAACUGACACGAUCUCACAAGACUCCAACCUUUGAACCGAAAUUCAGGAUUCGAACCAGCUUCGUUGUCCGAAUUUGAAGAUGAACUCACACCAACGAAAAUCCAGAAGAAAGCGAAAUAAUAAUUUUUUUUACGUUUCUCUGAUUCUUGAAAUCAAACAAAGAGAAAACAUGACUGAAUAUAUAUUUUUUUUUAUAUUGUGGAAUCUCAAACUAAAAGGAAUGUCCAAACUCAAGAUGAACCCUUCAGAAGAACAGAAAUAUUUUUCUAAAACCCUCACUUUUCUCUCCAGUUUUUUCCGAAAUUUUUUUCCAAAAGCCCCUGAAAAUUCAGUCUCCAAAGAACCAAAAACAAAACCCCAAAAUCUUCUAAUUUCUCUCUUCUAUAGUUCGAAAUCGAACAAAUGGAGGGUUUAGAUUGAUAUUCAAUCAAUCUACGGCUCCCAUUGAUUCGAUUCGAACUUGGAGAGCAAGAAAACGCGUGGAAAUGAUGAGUCCUUGUACGGAGCAUAUGACGUGGAAGACGGAGAGGAGAGAGGGGGACCAUGGGGGACCAAUGGGUGAACUCGCCGGGUUUGAGGCGAGUUCCGGCGAGUUUGGAGGGUGGGAGACGCGAGGUUGCGGCUGCU
rnacentral:lncRNA from 1 species